GCCGCGGGUCAGAGUCCGAACUCGAGGCCGGGGCUCCAGGCCUGGCAAAGCGACGCUCCCUAAUCUCUUUUUUUGAUCUUAAAGGCGCCAGCCGCGUGUAGAGCUUUGUGGAAGGGACCCAAGCCUGAUCACCAGAUAGAUCAUUUGUUUCAUUUGGAAUCCAAUAUGCCAAAUAACCCGAAGAUCCAGGAAUGAAAUCACACAUUUCCCCACGGAAUUUCUUCAUCUCUUUAGCAGAAGCAUAACCUAUGAAAUUGUAUGGAAAUUGUAUAAAUUUCACAUAUUAAAAUCACAGGUAGAAACUUCUAUGAAAUAAGUAGGGUAAGCUAAAAGGGGGAGAUAACUGUUAUUUUUAUUAGUUCAGGGCAUCUAAAUAAACAUAAAGAAUGUUGGCUCUGACAUAUAUCCAGUCACAGACCUUUAGAGUCAUAUUAUUUUUACCUGAAAAAAGUAAUUCCUCAAAAGACAUCCUCUUCUUACCUGUCACCAUAUUACUUGCUGGAUAAUCUCGAAGUGGAAUGUAACUCAGUUUGCCUGUUUCUAGUGUCUCAGGAGCAUGGAUGUCUCUAGUGCAACUAUAAAAAGCAAUUUUUUUAAGCGUGAUCUCAAAUUGUUUUAACUAUUAUCAAUAGAUUUUUUGAUUAGGUUCAGUUUGGGUUUUUUAACCAUUAUAAAGUAAAAAAAAAUAGAUGAACAUUGUUUUAAAUUGUUGUAAGGUGACAGUAGAAAAGCAUCAAACAAAUUAAACAAAUUAUAAUAAUAUAAAUACAUGUAAAUGGCGAGUUGAGAAUAUGCUGGUGUGACUGACUUUGGCCAAUCUACAUGAUCAUUGUAAGCAGAGCAUUGCUGAAUUAUACAAUCAUAAUAAAAUUUCAAAAACAAUA